CAUGUGCUGGUGGGGUCCUUUGGCCUGGCCUGUGCCCUCUAACAAUUCUGGACCCCUCAAGGGAUGUCAGAAAGCCACAGGCCAGGUCAAGGGACCCCACCAGUGCAUG
rnacentral:pre_miRNA from 1 species